rnacentral:rRNA from 1 species
UGGGGAAUUUUUCGCAAUGGGCGAAAGCCUGACGAAGCAACGCCGCGUGGAGGAUGAAGGCCUUCGGGUCGUAAACUCCUGUCGACCGGGACGAACGUAGGGGGGGCAAAUACCCUCUCCUAUCGACUGUACCGGUGGAGGAAGCCACGGCUAACUCUGUGCCAGCAGCCGCGGUAAUACAGAGGUGGCAAGCGUUGUUCGGAAUUACUGGGCGUAAAGGGCGCGUAGGCGGUUCUGUAAGUCCCGCGUGAAAUCCCCCGGCUCAACUGGGGAACUGCGCGGGAAACUGUGGGGCUAGAGUUCAGGAGAGGGAAGCGGAAUUCCGGGUGUAGCGGUGAAAUGCGUAGAUAUCCGGAGGAACACCGGUGGCGAAGGCGGCUUCCUGGACUGACACUGACGCUGAGGCGCGAAAGCUAGGGGAGCAAACGG